AUGGUAUCAGAUUUGCCUGAUUAUCUCCAGAAGCCCACCUUCUCCACGUGCAAUCAACGCCACACCCUCGAAAUGGAGCAACGCAUCGACGAGCUUGCGGCGACGCUCAAGCGCAUCCAGGAGCAGAACGCUUCCAUCCAAGAGGCGGUGGCGACAUCGACGGCCCUCUUUGAGGAGAUCAAGCCGUUCGUGACGGGCCUCGCGGAGUGGCGACCGGCGCUCGAGCGCUCGGUCGACGAUCUGCGCACCGAGAUCGGCAGUGUUCGCCGCGACUUGGACACCGUCAUCCGCAACCCCGCCCUCGCCCUCAAGCCGACGGAUCUGCCACCCCUGAUCCCACGAUCUGGUGGUGGGACGACUUUGGAGGCGAGCAAGGAGACGCACAGGCCCGAUGGCCGCCGCGACGACAAUUCGACUCGGGGGUCUGGAUCUGGGGUAGUUACUACCCUCGUUCCGCCUCCGGCCAUGUAG
rnacentral:rRNA from 1 species